AACGAACGCUGGCGGCAUGCCUAACACAUGCAAGUCGAACGAAGGCUUCGGCCUUAGUGGCGCACGGGUGCGUAACGCGUGGGAAUCUGCCCUUUGGUUCGGAAUAACAGCUGGAAACGGCUGCUAAUACCGGAUGAUGACGAAAGUCCAAAGAUUUAUCGCCAGAGGAUGAGCCCGCGUUGGAUUAGGUAGUUGGUGGGGUAAAGGCCUACCAAGCCGACGAUCCAUAGCCGGUCUGAGAGGAUGAUCAGCCACACUGGGACUGAGACACGGCCCAGACUCCUACGGGAGGCAGCAGUGGGGAAUAUUGGACGAUGGGCGCAAGCCUGAUCCAGCAAUGCCGCGUGAGUGAUGAAGGCCCUAGGGUUGUAAAGCUCUUUUACCCGGGAAGAUAAUGACUGUACCGGGAGAAUAAGCCCCGGCUAACUCCGUG
rnacentral:rRNA from 1 species